GGGGAAUAUUGGACAAUGGGCGAAAGCCUGAUCCAGCCAUGCCGCGUGAGUGAUGAAGGCCUUAGGGUUGUAAAGCUCUUUCAGUGGGGAUGAUAAUGACAGUACCCACAGAAGAAGCCCCGGCUAACUUCGUGCCAGCAGCCGCGGUAAUACGAAGGGGGCUAGCGUUGUUCGGAUUUACUGGGCGUAAAGCGCACGUAGGCGGAUUGUUAAGUUAGAGGUGAAAUCCUGGGGCUCAACUCCAGAACUGCCUUUAAUACUGGCAAUCUAGAGUCCGGAAGAGGUGAGUGGAACUCCUAGUGUAGAGGUGGAAUUCGUAGAUAUUAGGAAGAACACCAGUGGCGAAGGCGGCUCACUGGUCCGGUACUGUCGCUGAGGUGCGAAAGCGUGGGGAGCAAAC
rnacentral:rRNA from 1 species